rnacentral:misc_RNA from 1 species
GUGAGUCAUCGAAUCUUUGAACGCAAAUUGCACUCUCCUCGGAGAGUAUGCCUGUUUGAGGGUCAGCCUAAAAAAAAUCGACAUAGUUGCUGUUUCGCGGUGACAUUCGUCGGAAAUUGGGUCAUCUUAAACCUUUUGGUUUAAGCGGCUUAAAAUUUUCUUACCAAUUCCACGAACGUUUAUUCUUACACGUUUGAGGUAUCGAUCGCCGUCACAUCGGAUCGCGUUCAUAAAUCUUUCGUUAACUGACCUCAGACAGGUAAGAGUACCCGCUGAACUUAAGCAUAUCAAUAAGCGGAG